rnacentral:rRNA from 1 species
UUUAUGGAGAGUUUGAUCCUGGCUCAGGAUGAACGCUGGCGGCGUGCCUAAUACAUGCAAGUCGAGCGAACAGAUGAGGAGCUUGCUCCUUUGAUGUUAGCGGCGGACGGGUGAGUAACACGUGGGUAACCUACCUAUAAGACUGGAAUAACUCCGGGAAACCGGGGCUAAUGCCGGAUAACAUGUUGAACCGCAUGGUUCAACAGUGAAAGACGGUCUUGCUGUCACUUAUAGAUGGACCCGCGCCGUAUUAG